GUCUAAGGCCAUACCACCCUGAACGUGCCCCAUCUCAUCUGAUCUCAGAAGCUAAGCAGGGUCGGGCCUGGUUACUACUUGGAUGGGAGACCGCCUGGGAAUACCGGGUGCUGUAGGCU
rnacentral:rRNA from 1 species